GAUGAACGCUGGCGGCGUGCUUAAUACAUGCAAGUCGAGCGAACAGACGAGGAGCUUGCUCCUCUGACGUUAGCGGCGGACGGGUGAGUAACACGUGGAUAACCUACCUAUAAGACUGGGAUAACUUCGGGAAACCGGAGCUAAUACCGGAUAAUAUAUUGAACCGCAUGGUUCAAUAGUGAAAGACGGUUUUGCUGUCACUUAUAGAUGGAUCCGCGCCGCAUUAGCUAGUUGGUAAGGUAACGGCUUACCAAGGCAACGAUGCGUAGCCGACCUGAGAGGGUGAUCGGCCACACUGGAACUGAGACACGGUCCAGACUCCUACGGGAGGCAGCAGUAGGGAAUCUUCCGCAAUGGGCGAAAGCCUGACGGAGCAACGCCGCGUGAGUGAUGAAGGUCUUCGGAUCGUAAAACUCUGUUAUUAAGGAAGAACAAAUGUGUAAGUAACUAUGCACGUCUUGACGGUACCUAAUCAGAAAGCCACGGCUAACUACGUG
rnacentral:rRNA from 1 species